rnacentral:rRNA from 1 species
GACGAACGCUGGCGGCGUGCUUAACACAUGCAAGUCGAACGGUGACCCAGGGCUUGCCCUGGUGAUCAGUGGCGAACGGGUGAGUAACACGUGGGCAACCUGCCCCUGACUUCGGGAUAACUCCUCGAAAGAGGAGCUAAUACCGGAUACGACCACUUCGGACAUCCGAUGGUGGUGGAAAGUUUUUCGGUCAGGGAUGGGCCCGCGGCCUAUCAGCUAGUUGGUGGGGUAAUGGCCUACCAAGGCGACGACGGGUAGCCGGCCUGAGAGGGCGACCGGCCACACUGGGACUGAGACACGGCCCAGACUCCUACGGGAGGCAGCAGUGGGGAAUAUUGCGCAAUGGGCGAAAGCCUGACGCAGCGACGCCGCGUGAGGGAUGAAGGCCUUCGGUUGUAAACCUCUUCUAGCAGGGACGAAGCGAAAGUGACGGUAACCUGCAGAAGAAGCACCGGCGUAACUACGUGCCAGCAGCCGCGGUAA